UGAGGAACAUGACCUUCGGCGGGGGAUAGCCAGCCCAACGGCCGGGUAAUACCGCGUACGACCACUUUGGGACAUCCCUAGGUGGUGAAAGCAGCAAUGCGCCGAUGGAGUGCCUCGCGGCCUAUCAGCUAGUUGGUGAGGUAACGGCUCACCAAGGCGACGACGGGUAGCUGGUCUGAGAGGAUGGCCAGCCACAUUGGGACUGAGACACGGCCCAGACCUCCGUAGGGAGG
rnacentral:rRNA from 1 species